GACGAACGCUGGCGGCGUGCCUAAUACAUGCAAGUAGAACGCAGUUGCGAACGGGUGAGUAACGCGUAGGUAACUGCCUCAUAGCGGGGGAUAACUAUUGGAAACGAUAGCUAAUAACGCAUACUGUGAGAUGGACCUGCGUUGUAUUAGCUAGUUGGUGUGGUUAAGGCCCCCCAAGGCGACGAUACAUAGCCGACCUGAGAGGGUGAUCCGGCACACCGGGACUGGGACAAGGCCCAGAAUCCUACGGGAGGCAGGCGUAGGGAAUCAUCGGAAAUGGACGGAAGUCUGACCGCGCAACGCCGCGUGAGUGAAGAAGGUUUUCGGAUCGUAAAGCUCUGUUGUUAGAGAAGCGUUAACUAACGAGAAAGGGACGGCUAACUACGUGCCAGCAGCCGCGGUAAUUC
rnacentral:rRNA from 1 species